AGUAACUGCGAGGCAGGGGAUGGAGCACUCCCUUGGCCUGGUUGCGCUGAGGAAGGAGUUGUGGUUCAUCUGGAUGCUGCCGACUGGAUAGGAUUUAGGAUUUGCCUGGAUUAAGGUCAUCAAAGCCGAAUCCGAACUUGAAUUCUGUGCGGCGGAUUGCAGAGAUGGUAGGGCGAGUGUCUCCCGGAGGAAAUGUAAGGGGGAUGAGGGGGAGGGCAGGAGGCACUUUGGCUUGCGUUCAGAAGAUGGGAGAGGGAAUUUUCCGCCUGGCGACAGUGGAGGCGGUGGAGGGGAGGUAUCAGGUUUUCAGAUGUAGCUGCUUCCAAUCCUUCCUUUCCCUCCUUCGCGGCACAGUCUUCAGGCCCUGAGGACUGGGAUCUGCGACCCCCAGUGAACAAAAGUCGGCCGUACCCCAGAGGCUAAUUUUCUCACGGCAGCACCUGUUGCAGAGGCUGCAAGUAAAAUAAAGGCGAACGCUAGUUUCCGAGCUCAUGUAAGAAUCUGAGAAAUAACGGGGGAAACGUUGACAAGGGGGUGUGAUUGAGACCUGAGGCCAUGAG
rnacentral:sRNA from 1 species